UCUUAAUUGACAAGCUAGGAUUGUCAGAUUUCCUACUGUAGGUUAGUGGUUUUCUCAGGUUUAAAUUUGUUAUCUCUGCUUAGAGUUUUUGUAUUUAAUUUUCGUUUUCUAUAGAGAAAAAUAAGUGUUUCUUAUUUACGUCAGUAAUCAAGAGUAAUUUUAUGUUCUUGUUAUUUUUACACUGAUAUACCUCUGCAAGGACAAGGCGUUUUUUUGUCUCUUUAUUGAAAAAUCUAUUAUAAAUAUGCUUGUGACCAUUGGCAUUUCCUUAAAAGGCUGUCAGAUGUCAGAGUAAUUUCUGACUAAUACUGUUGAUUCAUUCAUGUUUGUGGGAACCAAUUUUCAUGGAUUGAGGAAAUCUUACAUGUACGUGGAUAUUUAAUUUCAUGGUUUUGGCGAAAUCUGCAUACAAACUUAUAGAAAAUUUGGUUUUCGUUGAAUCUUUAAUUUCCUGGUUCACCUGUUCCCACGAAAUCAACGAAAAUUGGUAUCCAAGGAAUAAUAAUGAAUUCACAUUAAUAAACAUGCAAAGCAUGUUCUUCAUAAGGAUGGAGUUGCUCACUAUGUGAGAAUCAUACUCAUUUUUCUUGAAAUAUGUAACUUUAAAGUUAGUUCUUAUUUUAAUGUCUAAAUUUGUGUUAUUGUUGAUAUUCUUUAUUGUAACUUAUAUAUACACAACUAAGUGCUUUUAUUGAUGUUUACAACUCUUACAUUAUUGUAUUUUCUAAGGUGCUUUAUAUAUAUUACACUUAUUUGCAAGUGUUA
rnacentral:lncRNA from 1 species